ensembl:rRNA 5S_rRNA 5S ribosomal RNA
GACUACUGCCAUACUACCCUGAAGGCACCUGUUCUCAUCUGAUCUCGGAAGCUAAGCAGGGUCAGUCCUGGUUAGUACUUGGAUGGGAGAAUUACAAUUUCAAAGACAAGGCUAUGUUAAAGAUCCGAAGCGACU